rnacentral:rRNA from 1 species
GACGAACGCUGGCGGCGUGCCUAAUACAUGCAAGUCGAACGAAGCUUUUUUAACUGGUGCUUGCACCGACUUAAACAACUGAGUGGCGAACGGGUGAGUAACACGUGGGUAACCUGCCCCAAAGCGGGGGAUAACAUUUGGAAACAGAUGCUAAUACCGCAUAACCACAGAAACCACAUGGUUUCUGUGUCAAAGAUGGUUUCGGCUAUCACUUCUGGCUGGACCCGCGGCGUAUUAGCUAGUUGGUAAGGUAACGGCUUACCAAGGCAAUGAUACGUAGCCGAACUGAGAAGUUGAUCGGCCACAAUGGGACUGAGACACGGCCCAUACUCCUACGGGAGGCAGCAGUAGGGAAUCUUCCACAAUGGGCGCAAGCCUGAUUGAGCAACGCCGCGUGAGUGAAGAAGGGUUUCGGCUCGUAAAACUCUGUUGUUAAAGAAGAACGUAUCUAAGAGUAACUGCUUAGGUAGUGACGGUAUUUAACCAGAAAGCCACGGCUAACUACGUGCCAGCCGCCGCCGUAA